rnacentral:rRNA from 1 species
GCAAGUCGAACGAGAAAGUACCUUCGGGUGCGAGUAAAGUGGCGGACGGGUGAGUAACGCGUGGGAAUCUGCCUAGUAGUGGGGGACAACAAUCGGAAACGGUUGCUAAUACCGCAUACGCCCUACGGGGGAAAGGCUUCGGCCGCUAUUAGAUGAGCCCGCGUAAGAUUAGCUUGUUGGUGGGGUAAUGGCCUACCAAGGCAACGAUCUUUAGCUGGUCUGAGAGGACGAUCAGCCACACUGGGACUGAGACACGGCCCAGACUCCUACGGGAGGCAGCAGUGGGGAAUAUUGGACAAUGGGCGAAAGCCUGAUCCAGCAAUGCCGCGUGUGUGAAGAAGGCCUGCGGGUUGUAGAGCACUUUCAGUAG